GCGAUGCCGGGCGGCGCUUGUAGUUCAGGGGGUGGGGGUGGCGUCCCGCGGGACCUGCAGUCCUUCCGCGCCUCCGGGGCCGGUCCGCGCCGGUCCGAGGUUUUCCCUGCGAGACGCCGCCUCCCAGUGAUGGGGAGUUUCAGAGGUGCCCUAACAAACGGGCCCUUAAAGCCAGCGGUUGUGAGCCCGGGUGGGUUGAAUGCAGCCGUUGACAGGAGAUGUACACUGAUGGAUAAUUCUGGAGGCACCUGCCACGUUUGGACAUAAUACAUUUCUAGGAAACUUUCAAAAGCAGCUAUAUGAGCGUUUGGGGUUGCAUUAGAAUCUCUACUUUGUCUCUUGUAGCUAUGUUACUUAGCUAAUUAGGAGAGGCAUUUCUUUGCAGUUUUCCGAGGACGUUUGAGUAAUGAUUCAUGUACAAAAGAAGGUGACUGCCAAUAAUAGAAACAACAGGGGAAAGUACAACUUCUCUGGGGAAGAUGUCUGGCUUCAAAGAACUUCCGUUGUCUUAUCUGUGAAGUGGACCCUGAAUCCUGCCAGGAGUCAAACAGUCCUUCACUAAGAGAAGCAAGUCAGGCUCUCUAUCAUUGGUCCAACCUACCUUGUGAGGGUUUUUUCCCACGAUUCCCUUAUACUGGCAUUACAUUAAGCAAAACUAAAUAAUUCCCCAUUUUUCAAACUGUA